GGACGAACGCUGGCGGCGUGCUUAACCCAUGCAAGUCGAACGGAAAGGCCCUGCUUUUGUGGGGUGCUCGAGUGGCGAACGGGUGAGUAACACGUGAGUAACCUGCCCUUGACUUUGGGAUAACUUCAGGAAACUGGGGCUAAUACCGGAUAGGAGCUCCUGCUGCAUGGUGGGGGUUGGAAAGUUUCGGCGGUUGGGGAUGGACUCGCGGCUUAUCAGCUUGUUGGUGGGGUAGUGGCUUACCAAGGCUUUGACGGGUAGCCGGCCUGAGAGGGUGACCGGCCCCAUUGCGCUUGAGAUACGGCCCAGACUCCAACGGUAGGCAGCGGUGGGGAAUAUUGCACAAUGGGCGGAAGCCUGAUGCAGCAACGCCGCGUCCGGGAUGACGGCCUUCGGGUUGUAAACCGCUUUCGCCUGUGACGAAGCGUGAGUGACGGUAAUGGGUAAAGAAGCACCGGCUAACUACGUG
rnacentral:rRNA from 1 species